CUAGAAUUUUAAACUAAACUACUCUUUG
rnacentral:tRNA from 1 species